UUCGAUGCAACGCGAAAAACCUUACCUACCCUUGACAUGUCUGGAAUCCUGAAGAGAUUUGGGAGUGCUCGAAAGAGAGCCAGAACACAGGUGCUGCAUGGCCGUCGUCAGCUCGUGUCGUGAGAUGUUGGGUUAAGUCCCGCAACGAGCGCAACCCUUGUCAUUAGUUGCUACGAAAGGGCACUCUAAUGAGACUGCCGGUGACAAACCGGAGGAAGGUGGGGAUGACGUCAGGUCAUCAUGGCCCUUAUGGGUAGGGCUACACACGUCAUACAAUGGCCGGGACAGAGGGCUGCCAACCCGCGAGGGGGAGCUAAUCCCAGAAACCCGGUCGUAGUCCGGAUCGUAGUCUGCAACUCGACUGCGUGAAGUCGGAAUCGCUAGUAAUCGCGGAUCAGCUUGCCGCGGUGAAUACGUUCCCGGGUCUUGUACACACCGCCCGUCACACCAUGGGAGCGGGUUCUGCCAGAAGUAGUUAGCCUAACCGCAAGGGGGGCG
rnacentral:rRNA from 1 species